ACUAUUUGUUUCAUUAUUCACUUUCCAUCCGAAACUACACGUGUAUUGCCGUCGUUAACGCUUUGUUCAUCUAAGUGUAAAGUAAACAAACUUAACGAACCGCAUCGCACCUCCGGUUCGCCAUGACGGCGCCACCACCGUCAAAGUCACUAACCCACCACGAAUGGGAAACCUUAAUCGAAAAUUUCCAAUCCAACACCGCCACCGAAAAAUGGAACUCUCUCGAUCCACCUCUCUCCGAUCAUCUCUUAUCCUCACUCCUCCGCAAAGAUUCCCCUCUUCAACUCAAACUCCAACUCCUCAUCUUCCUCGACGAAUUCUCCACUUCCAUUUUCCCUCACACACACCUCCACCGUCUCAUCGAAGCUCUCAAAACCGUUAUCCAAUCACCACCCGACGCCGUUCACAUCACACCGCUAUUCAAAGAACAGUUCAUGAUUUCCGUCACUUCCGUUAUCGUUUGCAUCUCCGAUUCCGAAGACGAAAUUGUUCAGAAAGUAACGGAGAGUUUAGUUGAAAUUUUGUUGACGGUGAUUAACCGUCCAAACUUCGGUUCUGAUCGACACACACGCGCCGUCGCAUGCGAGUGUUUGAGAGAAUUGGAACGAUCGAAACCGUGUUUACUUUCCGAUGUCGUUGGACAUUUGUGGAGUCUUUGCCAGAAUGAACGAACACACUCUUCACAAUCUUACAUUUUGCUUUUCACAACAGUUAUUCGUAACAUUGUUGAUAAGAAACUCAGUGUUUCAAUUCUCAAUACAUCGCUUCCGAUGCUUCCUUUCAAUACACCGCAAUGCGUGAAUCGGGAGGAAUUUGGUUUGGGUUUGAAUACGAAGGAAUUAAGGAGGGCAUUGGCGUUUUUGUUGGAGUGGCCACAAGUGUUGACACCAUGUGGAAUGAUGGAGUUUGUGUCUAUGGUGAUACCUGUGGUAGUGGCAUUGGAAUUGCAACCUUCAAUGCUUAGGGUUCAGUUGUUUGGUAUGAUUCAUUCUUACGAUCCAUUACUCUGCCAUGUUGUUUUAGCUAUGUUUUUGCGUUUUAUUGAUGCUUUUGAUGGUCAAGAAGGCGAGGUUUCGAGUAGACUGUUGUUGAUUUCGAGAGAAGCUCAUCAUUAUUUGGUGUUUCGAUUGUUGGCAAUUCAUUGGUUGUUGGGUUUUAAUCAAUUGGUUUUUAGUAAACAAUCGCGUAUUGAGAAGAAGAUAGAGAAUGGAAAUGAAGUAUGUUCUAAUUUUUAUCCUUCUUUGUUUGAUCCUUUGGCUUUGAAAGCGUUGAAGCUUGACCUUCUUGCUUCUUGCUCUGUCUUGAGACUCAAAAGUGAUUCUGAUGAUGAUGAUAGUUUGGUUGAUCCGGUAAAGGUGUUUGAACAGGGUCUCCUUUCUGUAUCAUCUUUUAAAUGGUUGCCUCCAGUGAGCACCGAGACUGCAAUUGCAUUUCGUACUUUUCACAAGUUUCUCAUUGCUGGAUCGUCUCAUUUUGAUAGUGAUCCUUCCACCACAAGAAAUCUGUUGGAUUCAAUGAUAUUUCGUACUUUGCAGGUGAUGCUUGUCAACAUGAUGCUGGAGAGUCGGAGACUGGUUCCUGUUGUUGCUGCUUUUGUGGACCGUUUAGUAUCUUGUAAGAAGCAUUCUUGGUUGGGUGAGCGCUUACUUCAGAAAUUUGAUGCGCACUUACUUCCAAAAGUUAAAAUGGAUUAUAAGUUGGUUUAUUGCUUCCCAAUAUUUCAUAGAAUUGCUGAGAAUCAGACAAUACCUCCGCAUGGAUUGUUAGAGCUACUCACGAACUUUAUGAUUUUUCUUGUGGAGAAACAUGGUCCGGAUACAGUGAUGAAAUCUUGGUCCCAAGGAAGUAGAGCUCUUGGAAUUUGUCGAACUAUGUUGGUACAUCGCCAUAGUUCUAGAUUGUUCCUUAGACUAUCCCGUCUACUUGCUUUCACUUGUCUCUAUUUUCCUGAUUUGGAAGUCCGUGAUAAUUCAAGGACCUACUUGCGUAUGCUGGUCUGCAUUCCGGGGAAGAAGCUUAGAGAUAUCUUGAGCCUCGGAGGCACGAUGCUUGGGAUUUCACCUUCUUCACACCAAACCUCUUUCUUCAAUGUUCAGUCACCCCGACCUUCUCAGAGAUUCAAGACAUUUAAAAACCUAUCAUCCUGCAUUCACUUCGAGCGUCUAACCCCAUUGCUUGUUAAGCAGUUUUGGUCUUUGUCUUUAUCAAGUUUAGUCGUGAGUAGUAGCAAACCUGCUUAUCUGGAGGGCAUCAGGGACCUUGAAGCCCCUAUCGAGGAAAAGGAAUUUUCUGAAAGUUCCAAUUCACAGGUCAUUCCUGAAACUGGCAGAACAAAUCAACCACAUGAGCCACUCCGUGUCAUGGACUCCAAAGUUGCAGAAAUUUUGAACACUUUAAGGAAGUACUUUUCCUGUAUUCCUGACUACAGAUACAUGGCAGGGCUCAAAGUUAGCAUAUCAUGCAGUUUGCAAUUUGAAUCUAAUACUUUCAAUCGCAUGUUGGGAAUCAGUAACACUGCCACAUCCCAGGAAGAGAUAGAUUCACUUCCCGCUAUAUAUGCUACUGUGUUACAUUUUUCGUCUUCUGCACCUUAUGGAUCGAUUCCAUCCUAUCAUAUACCUUUUCUUCUUGGUGAACCUCCCAGUAAAGAUCAUGCAUCUCAAAAUGACUCCCUCAGUAUUGUUCCUCUUGGAAAGGAUUCCGGAGUAGAGAAAAAGAAUAGAGCUACUGUUGUGAUUGAUUUGGAACCCAGGGAACCGACACCAGGUAUAGUUGAUGUUAACAUUGAAACAAAUUCAGAAAAUGGUCAGAUCAUCCAAGGUCAACUUCAGGGAAUCACAGCAGGCAUAGAAGACAUGUUUCUCAAGACCAUUGUUCCAUCAGACAUCCAAGAAGACGCAAUACCUCAGUACAACUUUGACUUGUUCACUGCUUUAUGGGAGGCAUGUGGCUCAUCCUCUAGCACUGGGCGGGAAACCUUUCAAUUGAAAGGGGGCAAAGGGAUUGCUGCCAUAAGCGGAACACAAUCUGUCAAGCUUCUUGACGUCCCUGCGAACUCUUUGAUCCAGGCAACUGAGCGCCAUCUGGCACGUUUUGUUGUAGGUGUGAGUGGGGAGUCACUUAUUGACGCUGUAUGGGAAGGAGGGAUUAUUCAGAAUGUCAUCUGGGAAGAUGCUUCCCCUUUUGCAACUCCAGUUACAAAUACUGAUACAGGACCACUUCGUCUUACAUACAAUAAUGAAGAGUAUGAAAAGGGAGGUAUUAUCAAUAGCAGGCAAAAAAAUCUGGGCUUUUUUCUUGUUCUAAUAUUCCUUCCACCACGGUUCCAUCUCCUUUUCCAGAUGGAAGUUGGUGAUGUUUCAACCCUAGUUCGCAUACGCACAGAUCAUUGGCCUAGCUUGGCCUACAUUGAUGAUUACCUAGAAGCUUUAUAUCUAUCAUAACAGCUGUUGUUUCAUCUACAUUAAUGAUUGUAUAAAGACUACCAAUCCUCGAUCAGCUUGUGAUGAUUUUUAGUUCUUGAAAAUGAUAUGGUUAGGACCAAAAUGACAAUCAAUUAAAACAUUAAUUAUCUUCCCAAUGUCCUUUAAAUUGAAAUAACUAUAACCCUUAUUCCUCCAUUGCUGCAAGUUGAGUUUGGAACAGAAGAAGUAGAGUUAUGAUGGGAGGUGGUACACCAUUUUUCAAAGUCCAUGGAGGUGAAGAAAGCCUCCCGUGAAGAGUGGAGUCAACCCUCUUCGUCACAUGUAAAGGGGUUUUCGAAUGUACCUUGUUGCAACUGUGAUGAAAGGUGUCUUCUACGCAGAGCCAACACACAAUUAAACCUAGGAAGACUGUUAUCUGCUCAUUCAAUAAGGAUGACCAGGCAAAUUACAAUACUUCAUUUGGAAAGAUGGUUGGAUGAAAAUGUUGCAGCUGAAAUAGAAACAUCUAAAAUAGAGUUUGAAAGACAAUUUGUAAUGGAGGUUUGAAGAGAUAAUGCAAUGGAUGAUGUGGAAAGCAAAUUUGAAUUCUAAGAUUAACAGUUUGGUUACUGACAGAAGUUCAUGAAAUGUAUUUUAUUUGCAUCGUUUGUAACAAUGCAAAUGUUUAUGAUAGUGUUUUUAUUUGUUGUAUUCAUGGGACAUAGUGUAUUCGUAGGUCAUGUUGUUUGUUGGUGUGCAAUAGUAUUAUCUAAUGUGUAUGAGUACUUCAUGUAGCGGAUAUUAUUUGAAGUAAAUGAACAGUUAUGGUUUAUGGUGUA